AUUGAACGCUGGCGGCAGGCCUAACACAUGCAAGUCGAGCGAGCGGCGGACGGGUGAGUAAUGUCUGGGAAACUGCCUGAUGGAGGGGGAUAACUACUGGAAACGGUAGCUAAUACCGCAUACCAUCAGAUGUGCCCAGAUGGGGUUAGCGAGUAGGUGGGGUAACGGCUCACCUAGGCGACGAUCCCUAGCUGGUCUGAGAGGAUGACCAGCCACACUGGGACUUGUAAACGGUCCCGACUCCUACGGGAGGCAGCAGGGGGGAAUAUUGCACAAUGGGCGCAAGGCUGAUUGCGCCCUGCCGGGUGUUGGGAAAAGGCCUUCGGGUUUGAAAACCAGUUCAGGGGGGAGGCGUUACCCGCAGAAGAAGCACCGGCUAACUCCGUGCCAGCAGCCGCGGUAAUAC
rnacentral:rRNA from 1 species